CCAAUAGCGUAUAUUAAAGUUGUUGCAGUUAAAAAGCUCGUAGUUGAAUUUCGGGAUUCUACGGUUGGUCGGGCUAUCCAGUCUGUACUAGCGUGUAGAAUUCCUACCUUCUGGGGAUCCAUCAUGUUAUUAAUUUAGCGUGGUGGGAAACCAGGACCUUUACCUUGAAAAAAUUAGAGUGUUCAAAGCAGGCUUACGUCUGAAUACAUUAGCAUGGAAUAAUAAAAUAGGACGGUGAUCCUGUUUUGUUGGUUUCUGAGUCACCGUAAUGAUUAAUAGGGAUAGUUGGGGGCAUUAGUAUUCAAUUGUCAGAGGUGAAAUUCUUGGAUUUAUUGAAGACUAACUUCUGCGAAAGCAUUUGCCAAGGAUGUUUUCAUUAAUCAAGAACGAAAGUUAGGGGAUCGAAGACGAUCAGAUACCGUCGUAGUCUUAACCAUAAACUAUGCCGACUAGGGAUCGGACGAUGUUAAAUUUUAUUGACUCGUUCGGCGCCUUACG
rnacentral:rRNA from 1 species